UAGACUGAACAUAAAUAGAUAUUGGUAACACCGGCACUUUAUUCAGGCGCACAAGCAGAAGAACCAGGUGCCGAAACAGGGGAUAUCAUCAUUCUAUCAGUUGCUUGUUGAAUUCCAAAAAUGGCGGUGGCAUCAACAUCUCUAGCUUCUCAAAUGUCUGGCCCUAAAUCCGUCACUUCCAUUUCAUGCCCGCAGUUCUCUGGCCUCCGGAAAUCUCUCUCCAAGCUUGAUAACUCCGUUUCCUUCUCCACUUCUCAAGCUUUCUUCCAAAACGUCGAUUCUCACCUCCGAAUUUCUUCUGACCGGAAAGGUUGUAGGGCCGUCGUCGCCAUGGCCGGCUCCGGCAAGUUCUUUGUUGGAGGAAAUUGGAAAUGUAAUGGAACAAAGGACUCCAUAAGCAAGCUUGUCUCUGAUUUAAACAGUGCUCAGCUCGAGUCUGAUGUUGAUGUGGUUGUAGCACCUCCCUUUCUGUACAUUGAUCAAGUAAAGAAUUCACUCACCGAUAGGAUUGAAGUUUCUGCUCAGAAUUGUUGGACUGGAAAAGGUGGAGCUUUCACUGGUGAAAUCAGUGUAGAACAAGUGAAAGAUCUUGGCUGCAAGUGGGUCAUUCUUGGUCAUUCGGAAAGGAGACAUGUAAUUGGAGAAAAUGAUGAAUUUAUUGGCAAGAAGGCUGCUUAUGCUUUGAGCCAAGGCGUUGGUGUUAUAGCCUGUAUUGGAGAGCUGUUAGAAGAAAGAGAAGCAGGAAAAACUUUUGAUGUCUGUUUCCAGCAAUUGAAGGCUUUUGCAGAUGCUAUACCAAGUUGGGAUAAUGUUGUCAUUGCGUAUGAGCCUGUUUGGGCUAUUGGAACUGGUAAAGUUGCCUCGCCUGAGCAGGCUCAGGAGGUACAUGUAGCUGUCCG
rnacentral:misc_RNA from 1 species